rnacentral:rRNA from 1 species
GAUGAACGCUGGCGGCGUGCCUAAUACAUGCAAGUCGAGCGAACAGAUAAGGAGCUUGCUCCUUUGACGUUAACGGCGGACGGGUGAGUAACACGUGGGUAACCUACCUAUAAGACUGGAAUAACUCCGGGAAACCGGGGCUAAUGCCGGAUAACAUGUUGAACCGCAUGGUUCUACAGUGAAAGGCGGCUUUGCUGUCACUUAUAGAUGGACCCGCGCCGUAUUAGCUAGUUGGUGAGGUAACGGCUCACCAAGGCAACGAUACGUAGCCGACCUGAGAGGGUGAUCGGCCACACUGGAACUGAGACACGGUCCAGACUCCUACGGGAGGCAGCAGUAGGGAAUCUUCCGCAAUGGGCGAAAGCCUGACGGAGCAACGCCGCGUGAGUGAUGAAGGUCUUCGGAUCGUAAAACUCUGUUAUUAGGGAAGAACAAAUGCGUAAGUAACUGUGCGCGUCUUGACGGUACCUAAUCAGAAAGCCACGGCUAACUACGUG